CCACACAUAGCGCCACUGCUUAUUACUGCUUAUUUACUUUUGAAAUUUAACUUUGUGGCAGAACAGCAUCCAUUUAAGUGAGUUCUCUAAACUGCGACGUAAAUAGAUUUUUUCGGACUUUCAAGUCCCACAGAAGGUACGGAUAUUUAAAUAAAAAAACGUUGUCUGGCUUUUUCUCUUUUUCUUAGCACUCAACUGCAUUACUAGUAGACUUCCCUUACUUUUUCACCUCUGAAGCUUUAAGGCUAAAACUAUUUAUAUGGGCAGUAGUUUAUAGUUUCCAAUAUUUCUUCUGUAUAUUAUUUUUUAACUAGCGUAGUAAACUAGUGUGUAUAACAUAAUUAGUUAUAUAAAAUCCAGAAAUGUAUGUCUGAGAUCAUUGCAGUCACGCUAUAUUUGUUAUCGAAGCAAACUGACUUCCCAGGUCUAAUUAAAUGUAAAUAAAGCAGGGGAAGAUCAUACAAACGAACCAUUGUCUUUGGCCAAAAGUGAAACAGCAAUUCAAAAAAAAUUCCAACAUCCGCAGCGCGGAUAGAAUGAGCAGAAAUCAUACUAAAUUUCGCCCACAUGUCGAAUAUGUAAAUUGAAAGGUUGCGCCUGCGCACGCGUCAAAUUGAAAGCGAAAUUGAACGUGGGAUUCAAUAAACUGAGGCAUGGCCAUCUCGUGGGCGAUCUGUGGUCACUCUGUGGUUCGGCUUGGAUCCCCCAUUUUGGGUAGGUGGCCACUGUUAAUUGUUGAAAACAUAGCGAUUUAUGCGCAAGUUGCUCGCAUUUUGCGUGGUGUCUACGGAACACUGCUUAAAUUGCCGCCGCUCCACAAAUGGUCAAAAGUCUUUAAUGCCCCCUAAUCGUAGUCAAGAUUGGUGUAAUAUUGACAGUAUACUGGAAUUUACCUUAGAAGGAAAACGAAACACAAUAUAUUUUACAUAACUGCGCAUUUAAAAUUCAAUUAAGUGAACAAAAUUCAUCAGCUAGGCUAGAGGCGAAAUUAAACUAUGUAUAUCUACACAACCAAACAAUAGUUCAUUUUCCAUAAGUAAAUAUUUCAAAGCACAGAAUUAGAUUAGUAUAGAUUGUUACCCUCUAUAGGCUCUAUAAGAAAUUUUCAUCGCAACGUUAAGACAGUCAUCUUUAUUCCCAGUCACACCAUUCGCAUACAAAACCGAUGUCUUAUUUCUCAUUUUGAUUGCCGUACUAUAAUGACAGUGGCUCCGUGUGCAUGCGACUCCCAUUUGAAGCUCGCUUUUCACCAGAGUUUUCGGUUUCAAUUUCCCAUGGCAGCACAGCCCACUCGCAGCAGGCACUCAUAUGUGUAUGUUUCUACGAUUUUCAUCGCUUUUCAGACCGAGUUCGGCCGGAGCACACGCUUUCAUUUGCGUUCGGAAAAUGACCUACUUCCGGAUUAGCAUGCCCGGGCCACUUUUACUGUCGCUCGAUCUGGAAAAGGGCGAUGGAUGGUGGGCAUGGUCAUGGGCAUGGGCAUGGGAGCCAUGCCAUCGAUGGCCAGCGACUAGGGACAGAAGCUAAUGAGGUUGUCGCCGUUGUAUCCACUUGAUAAUAAACAUCCGCCGCGCUGCGCAGCGCGUAAGUGUGUUGCAUGUUUGUUGCAUUUAAUUGUAAUUUAUUUUCCAUGCCACAGAAUGGACAUAGCAGAGAACGGAAGCAAAUAUUUUCCGGUGGAAGCUGGCACAGCGAAAAGGGGAAGUUCCUGUCCUAUACCCUUUUUGCCCUUUCCAACUAUCAAUGAUGCACUAAUUGACUGUUCCACCAGUCUAAUGUGCUAGUAAUCAACCAUAUCCCACCGUACUUAACUCACAGAUAUUAUGAGGUAAAUAUAGUAUAGUAUAGUAAGAAAGGUAUAAAGAAGUUCGCAGGUGCUGGUAACAACAUGUUCAUCUCAAGUUAAAGCAGCUAAUAUGGCAACUUGGCUACCUUCCGAUGACAUCGAUUUGCUAUAUGAGUGCAGUUCUUCGCAUUCGUCGGCUUUUGCUGAAAGGGAGAAAUACCAAACAAAGCCAAUUGCAUUCGAGUGGAUCGAUCAGUGGUGGACCAGAAUCAAUGAACUCGGAGGAAGCCGGAGCGAAUUGCUGGCUAAUUUGGCGCAGCGCACGCGAAAAAUGCGAAGGCAUCGCAGCGCAAAGAACGCGUUGCACUGUUGCUGCCGACAAAAGGAAGCAGCCACUUCCUAUCGAGAGGCGGCAAAAAACACCUGAGCCUGGAGCUGCCAGGUGACCCCAACUGGUGACCCCACCCCGGUGACCCCCACUCGGUGGCAGCGGGCGACUCUUCACACCCAAGCUGGCAUAAUUGCCCGCAUCAGAAGCAGGCAGGUUAAUUAGCCUGGAUUUGGGGGAAUUCUCACCGCCGUGCGGCCAGAAAUCAAAGCGGAAAUUGUUUAUUAAACAAAUCCACAGGCAGUUCUGGUGGGCCGGGCAGCAUCCAUGGCGUGGAUAAUGAACUUUUAAUUGACUUCUGGCAUUUUCGGCUGCCUGCGUGCUGAGACCCAUUAUAGUUCGAAAUUGGGAAUCAUAUGACAUAAUAAUAACCGGGUCUUCGCAGCUCCGGAAGCCUAACAAGCCCAACGUGCCCAAAUAAACAAAGGAGCUAUGUGGAGCACUGGGUAUCGAUAGAGACUUCAAAGGCGAUGUUGUAAGAGCGGUUAAAUGAUAGCGACAGGUAAUGACAGUCACACUUUGAAAGUGGAUCAUUUGCAUUUGUCAAUAUGGUUGACACACAUUUUAUAAUAGUCUGUAUUACAAUUGCACAGCAAUCACCAGUCAGCAUUCCAUUAUAAUCAAUAUAGUUACCACUCACUUUCAUUAAAAAAGAUUUAGGAACCAACUAGCUGUGCGUUUCGUCACUAAUUAAGACAUUUAUACAUUUACAGGAGCACUCGAAUUUAACUUAUUUGUAUUAGCAAAAAUAUCUAAAAACUACUUGUCAUUUUUGACAAUGGGUAUCAUCUUAUAAUCCUAUGAUAUGUUUGAUCUUUGAUCUUCGUCUACUGAGUUAAGAUACAACUUAGGCAGAAUUUCGAGUGGGAGAUAUGAGCUCCGUCAUCAUCAUCAUCAAGCAACUGGAAGAGGCCAUUAGGUGGGCGAGUGGUCAUUAAUGAGUGGGAUCGAGUAGCUUCUCCUUUUCGCCCACAGUCUGGAAUUGAAGAAAAUUUGCCAUAUUAAAAACAAUGGCGCACUGUCUUGUGCUAUCGAAAUUGAAUUCAACCGCAGAGGCUGGGUGAAAAUCAUUACAAUUUUCACUGCCUAUUCAAGCGAAAAACUUUCCUUUUCGAAUGCAGCACUAAUUCGCCUAAUGGCCAUCAGCGCAGCACCCACUAUCAUUACAUCAUCUCGCAUGGAUCAAGCCAUAUAGCCAUGAAGCCAACACUUCCGGCCGACACGCACUUGGUAACAAUGGAGAGGAGGGAAAGUUAUCAGCGCCACAUUACCAUUGGCCAUCUCCUUCUCAAUGAGAAGUGAGACUGGGUAAUUCCAAACGCCAAAACAAUGACACAUAAAUCGCUGAAAAAUCAAGCAUAACAUCAACAUUUUCACAUCUAUCCCAGACGCUACACCCACUGCCACACUCGUAGCAUCCGUGCAAUUUGCGAGAUAAAGAGCAAUCGCAAUAUUACUGGCUGGCAUGUGGAAAGUUGCAAAUUAGCCUGGCUAUGGAAAACAAGCCAACAAGGCAACAAGUCGCUCGUAUUAUUCAGUUACUCAGACUCACUCACUGCCACUGGUAAUGUGAGAAAAAGCGAAAAUGUGCAGCGUUGACACAAUUGUGAGUGCACGAGGCGCUGCAUCCAUAUCCAUGAGACACUUGAGCAGUUGCCAGCGAUUGUCUAGCGCGGCAGUUGCACUGCCACAAUGGCCCCCAGUUGAUGCCGCCACGAGGUGGGAGGCGUCGCGGCACGCCCAGCAAAAGCAGCCAAACUGGCUCAGACUCCAUUCGAUACUGCACUGAAAUCCAAUUCAAUUUGGCUACAAAUUCCUUCACAGAUACGUAGAUGGUCAGAUGUAAUAAUGGAGAAGUUGUUUUUCAGAAUCAGCAAGAAAAAGAUUCCCAAAGUUUCCAACUAUCAA